UUGAUUAGGUUAAUGGACAUUGAUAAAUUUCCCGUUAACUUAUCAAUUAAGCUUUUGUAUCACGGACAGGCUAAUUUCGUCGCGAUCUUUUGAACUUUACGAGAAAUCUUUGGACAGUGUUAAAUAUGAAUUAUUUAUGGCUCCUUUCGCUAAAGGCUUACGGAUUCGAAUUCUUGGUCGUCAAAGAGCGAACUGUGUCAGGUAGAAAGAUACUCGCGACGGCUCCUUCAAUCGACUCACAGAGUCGGAAGCCAAGUAAAAGUCAAAGGAAGAGAAGGUUAAAAUUAAAAAUAAUAGAAAUGUACGUAUAUAAGAAUUCUCGUAACUCGAUGCUGUGCUCUCAAUUAACAUAAUCUAGCAAGAUGAAACACUUCGGAUCACUGUGCAUACUUAUUUUGAUUCAUUUCAGUACACAAAUUCCAAAACAUGUGUAAAGAAACCAAUAUGAUGAUAUUUUCUAGUUGACGUAAACUAGUACAUUCUACAUUAUAUGUAGUUUAAUAUAACGAUGUUUUUUAUAAUUACACAAUGAAUUGUUCCGAAUAUAUAUUGCUCCUGGGGCACCUAUUUGUGAAUGUUGUAAAAUAACAUGUUCGUCAACACAAAUAAUAGAGCAAAUG